CCAGGAAGGACAUUAACAGAGACGGAGAGCAGAGAUUUAGAGAAGACUUAAACUUGACCCUUUCAUUGCAGGUACCCUUGUAAGGACUAGUCAUCAAGAAUAGCUAAGUCAUCUUUGGAAAUAAGGGAAUGCAUGCUAAUUAUGGAGAGUUUUGCUAAUCUUUAAUUUGAAUCAGAGUAUAUGUUUUUCAAAUAGGAAAAGAAGCAGUGGGGUGGCCAAAGUUUCAUUUGAUUUUUCUAUCAAUGAUUUCAGUUUCCUUUGAAGGACUACAUUGAGGGAAGGCAGGAAGACAAUAGGAUCCUCCCACCCCAGACAAGGGAAAAAAUAUCUUGAAUAAAUUAUCCAAAUAAAAUCUGUUUUCAAAGCCAGCCUAUUUACUACAUUUUUAAAAAACAGAAGAAAAGACUGGAUGAAGUGAUGCCCUCUGCAGGAUUGGAUGCUUAAACUUCAGGCAUUUCCAAGCAGCCAACAUGUCUCUGGGUAACCAAGGCCUCUAGGGUGCCAGCUUCAUAGCCAUCACUCCUGGUGGGAAGCAAGACCUUGGUUGCUGCUCUAGCCUCACCCUAAGAAGUGUGUGGAUGUGAUGGGGAGAGUGCCUGGGGAGAUCACAGUCCCCAGUGCAUGACUAUAGGCAUCCAAUGUGGAGAAGCCCAUCAUGAUAAGCAGGAAAGUAGUCUCAACCGAAGCCUUUUGAGUCCUAACCUUUGAAGAAAAUCUCCCUGGAAGCAGAAGUUGUUUUUUUAGAAGCCAAAAUAUGCUCUGGAGAAAUGUACCAUGAAGAAGAUAACAUGGCCCUUCCCGGAAAGAGGGACAACUUCCUUUCCCACAGUUGGCCUGUGCUUUACUGACCUCCUGGCUGCUCACUACAACCUUUACCCCACCUCUGGCUCUUCUACAGAGCCUACUGAGGAGGAUAUCCAUUUCCACACAGUGGAGACCUCCUUACUUAGAAGUUAAAGUGAUGCUACCAAUAUACUUCACAGCUGUUGAACGGAGAUGAUUGAUUGCUGCUACUGAGCUGCAUGAACCAGUCUGAUGGAAAGCCAGCAUGGUCUGGAGUUAUGAUGUCAUGUUUUUGGAUGCCCAUGGUAAGCUGCCACCAUAUAAAAUUGUUGCAACUACAAAACUGAGUGAAACUUCUUUACAUAAGUAGAAAGGUUACUAAACACUGUGUUAUGGCUUAAAUGUGGAAUUCCCCAGAAGCUCACGUUUGAGACAAUUUAAGAAGGUUUGGAGGAGAAAUGAUUGGGUUAUAUCCUUAACAUAAUCAGUGAAUUAAUCCCUCGUGGGAUAGACUGAAUGGUAACUGGAGGCCCGUCAUGUGUGGCUGGAGGAGGUGGCCAUUGGGAGUGUGGCUUUGGGGUAUAUAUUUUGCAUCUGGUGAGUAGACUCUCUCUCUGCUGCCUCAUCAUCAUGUGAGUUGCGUACCUUUGCCAUACUCUUCCGCCACGAUGUCCUGCCUCACCUUGAGCCCCAAGGAAUGGAACCAGCCACUUAUGGACUGAGUCCUCUGAAACCAUGAGCACCUAACUAAGCCCUUCCUCCUUUACAAUUGUGCUGAUUGGGUCUUUUAGUCACAGCAGCGAAAAAGCUGAUUAAAACACACUUGUGGGAGAUCAACCUUGCACGUGACUGAGUCACACUCCCCAGCUGGGUGCUGAGGCGCUCAGUCACAGAAACGUAGCAGAGCUUUCCCCAACCUUCUUGGGUUCGAGAGUUGGUGUCUCGUGCAUGGUGUGUCUUCCUACAGCCUCAGGGUAGAGCUAAGCUCACCUGUUCCUUUGUAAUAUUACCCCUUGCCAUGUUGAGGAUAGAAUCUUCCAUGGAAGUGCCUUGUGUGUGUCCCCUUCUCUUAGGCCCUUGGGUGUGGCCUACCCAGAUGUCAGUCAACCUGCUGACAGUGUACAUCAUGAAGCUAGACUUAGCCCCCUGAAACUGACCCCUUGCCUCAUUUGAAUAGCUUCUCCUCAAUAAAAGGGGUCAGCGCAUGCUCUCUCUCUCUCUUUCUCUCUCUUCCUGAGAACCCUUAAGGUCAGAGGAGCCAUCACAGUGACCCCAAUGAAAAAGGUAUUUGUGUCUCUUGUGUGGUUGUUUUGCACAGCCCAGUUAGCCCAGUUCAACUGGAGUAACCCCUGAGCCUUUUAGUCAUGAACAGAACCCGGCACACACUGACUUGCAAUCCCCUUGGGUUAAGCAAUACUCGACUUAGUCAAAUUCCAGUGAAAUGAAGGAGUUCAGAACAUGUCCUGGUAUGGGUUUGACUGACAAGUAAUGAAUCCUUCCCUGUGCUUGGGAAAUUCUUGUUCAGAAUCAUUUGGGCCUGGUUUUUCUGCAGAGACAGUGGAUGCUUCUUUUUGUCAUUUUCCCAUUAUUUCUA